CUAAUACCCAAUGAUAUCUCUAGAAGACAUCUGAAAGAGAUUAAAGAUUUAUCGGUGAUGGAUGGGGAUGCGUCUGAUUAGCUUGUUGGCGGGGUAACGGCCCACCAAGGCAACGAUCAGUAGGGGUUCUGAGAGGAAGGUCCCCCACAUUGGAACUGAGACACGGUCCAAACUCCUACGGGAGGCAGCAGUGAGGAAUAUUGGUCAAUGGACGAGAGUCUGAACCAGCCAAGUAGCGUGCAGGAAGACGGCCCUAUGGGUUGUAAACUGCUUUUAUAAGGGAAUAAAGUUAGUCUCAUGAGACUUUUUGCAUGUACCUUAUGAAUAAGGACCGGCUAAUUCCGUGCCAGCAGCCGCGGUAAUACGGAAGGUCCGGGCGUUAUCCGGAUUUAUUGGGUUUAAAGGGAGCGUAGGCCGGAGAUUAAGCGUGUUGUGAAAUGUAGACGCUCAACGUCUGCACUGCAGCGCGAACUGGUUUCCUUGAGUACGCACAAAGUGGGCGGAAUUCGUGGUGUAGCGGUGAAAUGCUUAGAUAUCACGAAGAACUCCGAUUGCGAAGGCAGCUCACUGGAGCGCAACUGACGCUGAAGCUCGAAAGUGCGGGUAUCGAACAGGAUUAGAUACCCUGGUAGUCCGCACGGUAAAC
rnacentral:rRNA from 1 species